GUCAAUGUGGUGUUGUGGUUUGAGAGCUGGAAUAUGACUCUGGAGAUUCUGGGUUCGAUUCCCAGCUCAGCCA